rnacentral:rRNA from 1 species
GACGAACGCUGGCGGCGUGCCUAAUACAUGCAAGUCGAACGCAGUGGGGACGGGUGAGUAACACGUGGGUAACCUCCCAUCAGAGGGGAUAACACUUGGAAACAGGUGCUAAACCGAUACUGAUGGAUGAACCCGCGGUGCAUUAGCUAGUUGGUGAGGUAACGGCUCACCAAGGCCACGAUGCAUAGCCUACCUGAGAGGGUGUUCGUCCACACUGUGACUGAGUGCCGGCCCAGAUUCCGACGGGAGGCACCCGUUGGGAAUCUUCUGCAAUGGACGAAAGUCUGCCCGAUCAACGCCGCGUGAGUGCAGAGGGUUUUCGGAUCGUAAAACUCUGUUGUUAGAGAAGCGGUAUCUAACCAGAAAGCCACGGCUAACUACGUGCCAGCCGCCGCGGUAAUUC